GGGCUGGAGCGGAGCAGCCCGGGCCGGGUGGGAGCGGGUACGGAAGCUCGGGCCAGACGCUUUGUUAGCAGGAGGCCCGGACAGCCUGAUCCGGAAGGUGGGGCCUGGUUCUGGACUGCCGUACGUAGUUUCGUUCCUGGCCAUUUUUUCCACCGCCAAAUGGCUUAAUGAAGUCCUUGCAUCCUCACUCUUUCUCCAUCAACUUGAAGCUAGUGAGUAUGUUGAAGAUGCCAGAGCCAGAGAAAGAUCAUGAGUGGCUAAAUUACUACUUGGAAUAUAGAUAUUUCCAAAUUAGAAACACUCCUUUUUGGACUUCUUGUAUGAGAGAAAAUUGAGAUUUGAGAAUUCAGAUGUUCCAGAGCUUGAAUGACCAUGACUAACCCAGAAAUUGGUACUGGAAGUGGAGUACUGCUAAAACAGUAACCUAAAAUAUGUUACAUUGCCUUGGUGAUGUAGCAGAUGUUAGAGAUACUGGCAUCAGAGAACGGAAGGACACCCAUGUUUUGCAGUGGCAAAAGAGGUGUUUAAACAGUUACCCAUGAUAAUUUAAAAGCAUAUUAUCCACCUAUUGAGAUUGUGACCCAGUAGAGUCUCAAUAGGAGGAAAUAGUUGAAAAGAGUCAAAGUAAUACUGUAUUUUGAGUUUUACUUUUAGUAAGAUAUUACUAAACAGAUAAGCUCAGAAAACAGUUGCAGAAAUGAACAUGCAUAAAAGUAUUUGGAAAGAUUGGAAAAGCAGAGUUUUUCUAGACCUUGAAGAGUAAAAUAUAAAGCUAGAAGAGGCCUUGAGUACAGUCCUGUCAAGAUUUAGUCCUGGAACAAAGAUCAGAUCAAGACUUUGGCCUUUCCAUCCAAGACCAUUAUUUUAGAUGGUCUCAAGAUAGCUGGGAUGAUGUUCUUGCAAAACUGACAUGGGGGCAAGGAAAUGAAGUAAAUCAUUUUUGAGAAUUACAUAAGCAAGAACUUUGGGUGUAGUUACUGGAAGCAAAUAGAUGAUAGGACUAAACUUUUGAAGGAAUUUUACCACUAAUCAAAUCAUGAACCCAAUUCAAGUUUGCUCACUUGAGGGAACUGUUCAACCCCAAAUUUGCAUAAGUAGAAAAUAGGACAUAAAUGCUUUAUAGCUCCCCAGUAUUCACAUAGGAUGUGGCCAUGGAGAAUAAUGGACAAAGAACAUUUCAGAGGCCCAUAUGAGGCCAUAUAGAAGACAGAGGGCACAUGUUUCUCUCCGAAACUAAGUUGAGAUCUCAUCAAAAUUUCCUCCACUCUCAGGGGAGAUGGAUCAGAAAAUUCCUGCUCAAUAUUUCAUCCUUUUUAUAUAUCUAUAUUGCCUGGUGUCUCACAGUUUUCUCUUUUUCCAG
ensembl:lncRNA